rnacentral:rRNA from 1 species
GACGGAGGAUGCAAGUGUUAUCCGGAAUCACUGGGCGUAAAGCGUCUGUAGGUGGUUUAAUAAGUCAACUGUUAAAUCUUGAGGCUCAACCUCAAAAUCGCAGUCGAAACUAUUAGGCUAGAGUAUAGUAGGGGUAAAGGGAAUUUCCAGUGGAGCGGUGAAAUGCUUAGAUAUGACAUAGAACACCAAUUGCGAAGGCAGCUUACUACACAAUGAUUGACGCUGAGGCACGAAAGCGUGGGGAUCAAACAGG